AUUAAAUGAGGAAUUAUUGCACUGGGCACUGAUAUUGCAUGAGUGACAACGCAUAAUUGUGGGCCUCAGAAACCCACUUAAACUGAUUUU
rnacentral:snoRNA from 1 species